rnacentral:rRNA from 1 species
GGAGGAAUAUUGGACAAUGGAUGGAAAUCUGAUCCAGCCAUGCCGCGUGCAGGAAGACGGCCCUAUGGGUUGUAAACUGCUUUUGUAUGGGAGCAAUAAGGGCUACGUGUAGUCCGAUGAGAGUACCAUACGAAUAAGCACCGGCUAACUCCGUGCCAGCAGCCGCGGUAAUACGGAGGGUGCAAGCGUUAUCCGGAUUUAUUGGGUUUAAAGGGUGCGUAGGCGGUUUGAUAAGUCAGCGGUGAAAUAU